GUAAAGUUUGAAAAUAGAUAACUCUCAAGUCACAUGUGAAUGCAAUCUUUACCCAAAUAAAAAUCAGCAUUAUAGGAAAUAAUUAACAGAUACAUAUGACUGAAAUUUACCUCUUGCUUGGAUGAUCAUCUUGGUCCAGUGGUUUCAGGGGAGACAACCUUAAAAAGGUUUCUGACAAUGGAAGCCAAAAAAUGACAUUAUAUAGCUCACAUGAUCCAUUAGGACCUGUACGCUACCAAAACCGAAAAUACAAUAAAAAUACAGAAUUAUCACAGUUACAAAUAAUUUCACAUCAUAUUAUACACUAAAUAUAUUCUUGCUUAUAUGUUGUAUAAAUUUA
rnacentral:lncRNA from 1 species